GAUGAAGAACGUAGUGAAAUGCGAUAAGUAAUGUGAAUUGCAGAAUUCAGUGAAUCAUCGAAUCUUUGAACGCACCUUGCGCCUUUUGGUAUUCCGAAAGGCACACCUGUUUGAGCGUCAUGAAUACCUCAAUCUCCAUCUUUUCUUCGGAUUGAUGGGUGACUUGGAUGUUGAGCCCUGCUGGUAUGCUAUAUCAGCUGGCUUUAAACUUAUUAGCCGGCUCUGUACUGGAUCGGUUUGACUCGACGUGAUAAUAUUAUCGUUGAGGAUGCAUGUCUCAUGCAGCCGGAAAGUAUCAAAGCAGCUUCUAGCUUGCCUUUAGUGCACUUUUACAUUUUAGACCUCAGAUAAGGUGGGACUACCCGCUGAACUUAAGCAUAUCAAUAAGCGGAGGA
rnacentral:misc_RNA from 1 species